GUGCUCUCUUUGACAACACUUAUAGUAACACUGCAAUAAUAUGGAGAAGAUACGCACGGCCCCUGUGCAAGGAUGACAUAAAGCCAAAGUUUACUUAAGCAAUAUUA
ensembl:snRNA U6 U6 spliceosomal RNA